rnacentral:rRNA from 1 species
GCGUGGAGACAGGUGGUGCAUGGCUGUCGUCAGCUCGUGUCGUGAGAUGUUGGGUUAAGUCCCGCAACGAGCGCAACCCUCACCUCUUGUUGCCACCAGGUCAUGCUGGGCACCCUAGAGGAGCUGCCCCGGUCAACGGGGAGGAAGGCGGGGAUGACGUCAAGUCAUCAUGCCCCUUACGUCCUGGGCUACACACGUGCUACAAUGGCCGGUACAAAGGGAUGCCACACCGCGAGGUAGAGCUAAACCCAAAAAGCCGGUCUAAGUUCAGAUUGGAGUCUGCAACUCGACUCUAUGAAGGAGGAAUCGCUAGUAAUCGCGUAUCAGCACGACGCGGUGAAUACGUUCCCGGGCCUUGUACACACCGCCCGUCACACCACGAAAGCCAGCUGUACUCGAAGUCGCUGAG